rfam:Mus musculus chromosome 11, GRC primary reference assembly.
AUGUGUGAGGGCAAUCUGGCUGCCAACCCCAUUCAUUGGCAGGGCUGAUCUGGCAGCUGAUCGGGCUGGCUAGGCGGGUUAUCCCUCUUCCCUCACCACUAUCUUACACACGUGCACACACACACACACACACACACACACCCCAGGAUGCCGGGCUGCAUCCAAGACAGCCACCUUCCCUGAACAGAGGAGUGGACAGUCUUCAGUGAAGGAUAUCCUGGUAUCUGUGCCUCCUGUAGAACCUGUAAAGUCCCAUAAAACAAACACCAGCUGAGCAUGGUGGCACAUGCCUUUGGUUCCAGCACUUGGAGGAGGCAGAGGCCCUGAUUU